GCCUGGUUAGCUCAAUCGGUAGAGCGUGAGACUCUUACAAGCAAGAGUACACAAUCUCAAGGCUGCGGGUUCGACCCCCGCAUCGGGCU
rnacentral:tRNA from 1 species